rnacentral:rRNA from 1 species
GGCCUGGCUGGCCGGUCCGCCUCACCGCGUGUCACUGGUCCGGCCGGGCCUUUCCUCCUGUGGAACCCCGGGCCCUUCACUGGGCACGGCGGGAAAACAGGACAUUUACUUUGAAAAAAUUAGAGUGCUCCAGGCAGGCCUACGCUCGAAUACAUUAGCAUGGAAUAAUAAAAUAGGACGCGCCGUUCUAUUUUGUUGGUUUACGGACGGCCGUA